AUGGGUCUACCAUUGGUCGGUUUAGGAUUGCUGGGGCCAGUAGGGUUGGCUGCAGGCGUUUUAGGCGGGGUGGCGUUAAUUGGUGUCCUCGGAAAUAAUCCGACACUUGAAGUGGUGUCCCAAAGAAAUGUAUACCCCAGGGAUGAAGAAGAUACAGUAGACCCCAGUGAUGAAGAAGACCUAGUAGAAUGUGGUAUUUCCAGAAAAAGAAAGAUCUACACUUUAAAAAGCAUAGAGAAGAGAGAAGAGACAAGGAAAAGAAAGAAAGAAGAGAGGAAGGAGGCAGGAGGAGUAGGACAAGAUGAGUCCAGCAGCGAUGAUGAGUCCUGCAGCGAUCAAACGUCCAGCAGCGAUGAAGCGUCCAGCAGCGAUGAAGAGUCCAGCAGCGACGAAGAGUCCAGCAGCAAUGAAGAAGGCCUUGGAGAUGUUGGUCCAUAUAAAAAGGUUAAAAAAGGACACCGUAUGCGCAGUAAAAAAGGGAGAACCAGAAAAGACGCAGAUCAUAUUCCACCACGGGCGUCACUCAGGAGAGCCCGAGAGGAUGAUUACCUGCUGGACCGACUCCGAGACGUGAAUCCAGGCCUUUAUAGGAUGAUCAUGAGCCUCGAUACUGACCCACGCGGACAGGACCUGUUAGCCAUGCUAGUUCGCCGCAGGCAUCACCGAAUGGCUCUAACCACCGGCAGAAGCAUGGAAUCUUGUUUGAGCAGGCAGCUGCUCGCAGAUACAAUGCUAAAGGGAAACGGUGGGAAAGUGUUUAAGUUCCUCACUCUUAUGAGUAAUCCUCAAUCUAGCUGGAACAUCAGAAAAGAUGCAGGUAAUAUUUUUUAAAUUAUUUUCUUCAUUUCUAUUAAUCAAUAGUUUAGAUUUGUUAAAGUUUUUUUUAUUGUAUGUUGUCUUUGUAUUCUGUAUUUGUAACGGUCCCUGCCUGAGGGGGCCGUUCCACUUCGUGUUUUCUGUUUGUCCUUGUCAUGUCCUUGUAUGGUCUUUCCUGUUCUUGUUUCAGUCAAUCAGUAUGUUCCUUUCACCUGUGUUUAGCCCCCACCGGUUUCUGUUCUCCUCAUUAGUCUGUGUAUUUAGUUCAGGCAUUUUCUCCCUGUCGGUCCUUGUGUUUGUCUGCGUGUCGUUUUUAUGUUUUCCUGAACUCCUGAAACCCUGAGUAUUUCAUAGUGCCUGUUUUGCUUUUGUUCAUUAAAAAAGGAAACGCCUUGAAAUUCUGCACCUGCCUCCGUCUCCCUCAAUGAAACGUGACAGUAUUUGAGAUGGUGACUUUAUAUACUGUAGUUAAAUGUAUCUAAUGUAUAUACCUGUUCAUUCCUGAAGAAUAUCACUUCAAUACAUUCCCAUGUGAAAACAUUAUAGUUUGCUUCAGAAUAUUAGGGUGUUAUUGUAACCUGUAGUAAACUGUAGGAUUCUAUACUGCACACUGCAUCAGUCAUAUAUUCUAUAAAUUAUCUGUAGAAUAAUUGAGCCUGACCGUCACGGCUUGAUGUCAGGACACAAGGCGCAGUGCAAUAGUAGUGAGACAUUCCUUUAUUAGUCUUCCAAAGUAACAAAACAAAGGCAUAGUACCAACUGAUCCACCCAGUACAGAGGAAAAACAGAACUAAACUAAAUACCAAUAAGAUCCCCAAUUAGAGGCAGCACAGGGCAGCUGCUUCUAAUUGUGGACAACCAGAAAUAUAAUGCAGAGAUGCCUAGAGUUGAAAUAGCUCUCAUUGUUAAUGUAAAUGUUUGAGUUAUAUGAUGAAUUUGCUUUAUUCAUUAGCAUAUUAACCAUGGCACUCUAUCCUAACCCAAAAUAUGGACUCAGUUUUAAUGUAUUUAUUCACUGUUUGUAAACAGAAACAUUAUACAGUAUAAUAUAGCAGCAGAAGGUUUUGUGCUUUGAGCAUUGAGCCUGUAACCAAAGCGUACCUGGUUUCAAUGAAUCAAUCCAUGCCCUUGGCAAGGCCCUUGUGUACAUCUGAUAAAUAACUGAAAUGCAAAUAUGUGGCGUCAAACAUGCUUACGUUAUAUGAUUUUAUCUGUUACCUUUCUCAGGACCCUUCCUUGGUUUUACAAUAAAAUACAGGUGGUUUCUUAAUUCUCUUGUUCAUUUCAAAAUAUGCACUUGUUCUAGGACUGGCCAGUGGUGAUUAUUCUGCUGACGAUUCAAGGGAUUAUUACAGACGUGGUUAUCGCCGCCUGCUCCAAGAAUUCCACAGGAUGGGGAUCGUCAGCGAUGGGGAAAUAUGUGAGCUGAAAUUAUGGGUGGAUCAAAAAAAGUACCUGAAGCGGGAUUCCCCAGAGUAUCAGCUGAUCCUUGAAGAAAUUCGACUUUACAAUCUUUUCUUUAACUAAGGCAGCAAAAAAUUAAUAUAUUUGUCUAUAAGCUUCUUGAACAUAUUCUGAAAAAAUAUAGAUCAUGAAUAUCUUUAUACUAUUGCUGUGAUAUGCAAAGUAUGGAAUUCAUUAUAGAUCAUUUAACUUUAAUAGUUGUUGAAAAUCAAGUAUUUUAAUCAUGUCUCUGGAGAAUAUUGUAUACAAAAACAUAUCAUACUAAACUCUUUAAAGCAGAUGUUUUUUUUUCUCCAUAAAAGUAAAUAAAAAAUACAGUCUUGAUGUUAAGCUGAAAAUGUUCAUUUGGAUUUACAGUACCAGUCAAACAUUCAUUCAAGGGUAUUUGUUUUUUAUUUCCACAUUGUAGAAUAAUAGUGAAGAUAUCAGAACUAAAAAUUACACAUUUGGAGUCAUGUAUUAAACAAAAAGUGUAAACAAAUCAAUAUACAAUUAUAUUUUAGAUUGUUCAAAGUGGCCACCCUUUGUCUUGAUGACAGCUUUGGACGCUCUUGGCAUUCUCUCAACCAGCCUUCUCUCAAGGAUAUAGACCUGGUUUGUAGAUAUAGACCUGGUUUGUAGAUAUAGACCUGGUUUGUAGAUAUAGACCUGGUUUGUAGAUAUAGACCUGGUCUUUUAUUUCCCGCCUCUCUAAUAUAGGUUUUGAGGCCCAUUGUCCAGAAAGUACUUUCUAUGGAUACCCAAUUUGUGGUUGUUUAUUAUAAUAUUAUUGAAUAUAUAUAUAUAUUAUUUUUUUUUCUUCAGAUUCCUGUAGAUACAUUAUAAUGUAAUCUUUACUGUCAUUAUUGAUUAUAAUUGAGCGAUAACUGUUGCAAUGUCUUAAAUCAUUGUUUUGACAUUUAUGAUAUUAUCAACAUGACGUCAUUUUAUUUUUUCAUUAAUAUAAAAUCAAAUUAAUCAGAAAUACAGUGUGGACAUUGUUAAUGUUGUAAAUGACUACUGAAGCUGGAAAUGGCAGAUAUUUUUCAUGGAAAAUCUGCACAGGCCCAUUAUCAGCAACCAUCAUGCCUGUGUUCCAAUGGCAUAUUGUGUUUGCUCAUCCAAGUCUAUAAUUUGAAAAGUCUGAUUGGUCAUUAGAAAACCAUUUUGCGAUUAUGUUAGCACCUCUGAAAAUGUUUGGGCAGAUUAGUGAAGCAAUAAAACUGCCCUUCUUUAGACUAGUUCAGUAUCUUCAGCAUCAGCAUUUGUGGGUUUAAUUACAGGCUCAAAAUGGCCAGAAAUAAAGAAGUAUCUUCUGAAACUUGUCAGUUGAUUAUUGUUCUGAGAAAUGUAGGCUAUUCUAUAUGAGAAAUUGCCAAGAAGUUGAAGAUCUCGUACAACGAUACGUAGUACUCUCUUCACAGAACAGAACAGUGUAAACUGGCUCUAACCAGAACAUGAAGAGGAGUGGGAGGCCCCGGUGCUCAACUGUGCAAGUGGACAAAUGUGAUGAAG
rnacentral:lncRNA from 1 species